GGUGCACUUGGCGGCGGCUUAGUGGGAUGAUUGAUAAAAUAAAUACAGAUUUACGUACGCAUUUUACGUAUUUUGAACUUAAAGCUUAUCCUUUAUUUGUGCAGGAAGAAAAGCGGUGGAAAAUCGAAGAAAAUAAAACAAAAAGGCUUUCCCCCUCCAUCCAUUCGGCAUUUCACUAAAUAAAUCACACAAGACAUUGGUUUAUUCGUUUGUCUAAGGAAAAAUAUCCAUUUUGAGACCAAAACACAGACAACGCAUACAUAUAUGUAAGGUUAUAGAAGAGCGAACAAAGCCAUAAGGAGAGCACACAUCCACAUCCACAUCCAAUUCCAAUCGGACUGAGAGUCCAGUUCGGGGCAUUCAAUCAUUUUUACACCCUCCAAAGCAGGCUCUGCCCGGCCCACGGCCCUGUCCUAUCAGGCGUAAAUAAUCACAAACGUUGGCCAAAUAAUAAAUACAUGUGUGUGCUGUGUAUCUGUGUAUCUGUGUGCAUUGUGUCUGGCACCCUCUGCUGACCAAUCAACUGGCAUUAAUGGCCAUAGCCUGUGCGGCCCUGUGCGCCACUUACGGCUCUUGGCUAAAGGUGGCGUGAAAAAUGAUGCAAGUAGGGAAAAAAAAAAUGGGUUUCGUCUGUUCCUUUCUCGCUCUGCACUGCACAACGCUGCGUAUGCGCGUUAUUCCAUAAGAUGUGUAAAUCAUUUGCUGCUUAAUGCCCACAGUGCCUCCCACUAUGUACACGUACGCGCGUGUUUGUGUUUGUGCGGGGCCGAGGACUUUAUUUAUUUGAUUUUGUACAAAUACUGUUUCAACCUUCGAGGAGCAGGCCACAAAAUGUGGCAAAAAUCUGUCGAGAAAUGUGCACAAAUUACAUUCAAGGUGGUUUUCGUGAGAGCCUAGCGUAGAAGAGUAGACACGCCAAGAGUGCGAGUGAAAGGAAGAGUGUCUUAUCUGUUGAUCUGCACUUCGUUUACGAGCAUUGCUCUCAAGUGCAAGCAUGCAAAAACAACAGCAAGCGAAAGAGAGCGAGAGCGAGUGGACCCGAAGCGUGCAAUACAUACGCUCUCCCUAUGACUUCGUUGCAGUGCUCUACCUAUCUCUCUCUAUCUUAUUUCUUAUUUCUUGCUCUCCACAGCGCGCUCUCAGCAAAUAAGAAACGGGAGUUUCGGGAAGCCAAAAAAGGAAUACCCCAGACACCACAGAUAAAAAUUGCUCUAAAAUUGCCACUAAAAAUAAUUAAUAAAAGCCUU
rnacentral:sRNA from 1 species